UCUGUCUGUGUGAUGCUUUUGCUGGGAACAGAACAGGAAUGGAGUCUUAGAACUUAACCUUGGAUCGCUUUUGGAGCUCUUUCUGAGCCCAUUUCAGUAUUCCAUGAUCAUCUUUCCAAUGUGGACAUCAGUACUGGUCACGUUCGGAGAGAGUUGAAAGAAUCUAGAGGUGAACUGGGGGAAAACCUCUGCUUUAUUAAAGAAGUUUAAUUGAACUACACGAACAGAAGAGAGGGAAUGUUUUCUAAAGUGGAAAUAACUGUUUGGCUCAGUGUUUACAGAAUUCCACCAACUCAGCUUGAUGCUGUAACACCAAAUAUAAUAAAUGCAACACAGAAGAAUUACAUUAUCAAAACAAUCUCAUGAGUUGGUCAGUGACUUGGCCACUUACUCUCUACUGUACCAAUUUCCACAAGUUGAUUAACUUGUCAUGUACACCCCUAUAUCAAUGAAAUUGCUCUGAUUCCUUAUAAAAAGGAGGGGCGAACCCCUGAAUAAAGAACGAGGAAAUGAA